UACGUAGGUGGCAAGCGUUGUCCGGAUUUAUUGGGUUUAAAGGGUGCGUAGGUGGCUUUGUAAGUCAGCGGUGAAACUCUGGAGCUUAACUCCAGACCGGCCAUUGAUACUGCAGAGCUUGAGUUCGAACGAGGUAGGCGGAAUUGACGGUGUAGCGGUGAAAUGCAUAGAUAUCGUCAAGAACACCAAUAGCGAAGGCAGCUUACUAGA
rnacentral:rRNA from 1 species